UACGGGGGGGGCAAGCGUUGUUCGGAAUUACUGGGCGUAAAGGGCUCGUAGGUGGCCAACUAAGUCAGACGUGAAAUCCCUCAGCUUAACUGGGGAACUGCGUCUGAUACUGGAUGGCUUGAGUUUGGGAGAGGGAUGCGGAAUUCCAGGUGUAGCGGUGAAAUGCGUAGAUAUCGAGAGGAACACCUGCGGCGAAGGCGGGUUGCUGGGCUGACACUGACGCUGAUUGUGCGAAAGCUAGGGGAGCGAACGGG
rnacentral:rRNA from 1 species